CUAUGGGGCACCAUGGGUCACUCUGGGUCCCUGUAGGUCACUAUGGGCAAUCUAUGGGUCCCUAUGGGCUAUCUAUGGAUCCCUAUGGAUCUCUAUGGGUCUCUAUGGGUCACUAUGGGCUAUCUAUGGGUCCCUAUGGGACUCUAUGGGUCCCUAUGGGUCCCUAUGUGUCCCUAUGGGUCACUCUGGGUCCCUAUAGCUCGCUAUGGGCAAUCUAUGGGUCCCUAUGGGUCUCUAUGUAUCUCUAUGGGUCACUAUGUGUCCCUAUGGGUCACUAUGGGCUAUCUAUGGGUCCCUAUGGGUCUCUAUGUAUCUCUAUGGGUCUCUAUGGCUCGCUAUGGGCAAUCUAUGGGUCCCUAUGGGUCUCUAUGUAUCUCUAUGGGUCUCUAUGGGUCUCUAUGGGUCACUAUGGGCUAUCUAUGGGUCCUUAUGGGUCUCUAUGUAUCUCUAUGGGACCCUAUGUGUCCUUAUGGGUCCCUAUGGGUCACUAUGGGCUAUCUAUGGGUCCCUAUGGCUCGCUAUGGGCAAUCUAUGGGUCCCUAUGGGUCUCUAUGUAUCUCUAUGGGUCACUAUGUGUCCCUAUGGGUCACUAUGGGCUAUCUAUGGGUCCCUAUGUAUCUCUAUGUAUCUCUAUGUAUCUCUAUGGGUCUCUAUGGGUCACUAUGGGCUAUCUAUGGGUCCUUAUGGGUCUCUAUGUAUCUCUAUGGGUCCCUAUGUAUCUCUAUGGGUCUCUAUGGGUCUCUAUGUGUCCCUAUGGGCUAUCUAUGGGUCCCUGUCGGUCUCUAUGUAUCUCUAUGGGUCUCUAUGGGUCUCUAUGGG
ensembl:lncRNA